AUCUAAAUUACCCAACCUUACCCUAAGCCACCCACACCAUUCUCAUCUCCUCCAACCUUCUGCUGGCGUUCACGUCUUUUUCGCCGCCGUCUUCUCCGCGCCUCUCGCCGCCGUCUUCUCCGCGCCUCUCGCCGCCGUCUUCUGUGCGCCUCUCGCCGCCGUCUUCUGUGCGCCUCUCGCCGCCGUCUCCUGAGGUUCCGUCCGCGUCGUCUUCUCCGGUCGCGGCGCCAUCUCCUCGUCGUCUUCUUCCUCCCACGGAAACGGCCGCCUCACCUCCCGCCUCCAUAAGAAAUCAGAAGCCAGCUCACGGAGGAAGAAGCAAAUCAGAUCUGUUUCAAAGAGGUAAUCGAAGAGUAUUUUUCUUGGCACUUGGUGAGUCUCUAGAGGGAGAUCGUAAUCCUAAUUCCUAAAUCCACAUAUAUCUUCAACGGCUUAGCUCGGAGCAGAAGAACAUCGCUUCAAUUCUAUCAGGUCCUAAUUGACUUUGGAUUGAGCUUCACUUCAACUCUACCAGAAGAUAAAGCUGUUGAUUUGUAUGUUCUGGAAAGAUCUCUUCUUUCAAUGCAUUCGUCAUGUGGGAAUGUGCUUUAUUGAAUAUGCAAUAAAGCAAUAUGCAAAGGAAUACCAGGAGCAGGUUGCAUUUCACCUUAAUCUAUUUCUCUUUUUCUCUGUUUUAAUGUUUGUUUCUGUUUCCUUUAUUGCGCUUUGCAUUUUUCUCUUGAACAUUGGAAGAUUGUGCAAGUAAUGUCCACCGUCACUAUGAACCAGUACCAUAUUUACGAAGCUAUUGGUCGUGGAAAAUACUCGACCGUGUACAAAGGCAGGAAGAAGAAGACAUUGAGUAUUACGCCAUCAAAAGCGUAGACAAGUCACAGAGAAGCAAGGUUCUUCACGAAGUAUGAAACUUCUGCUCACUUAUGGUUGUUCUUGGAGUAUUGCGUUGGAGGAGAUUUACUUUCUAUAUUACGGCAGGCGAACCAAGAGACAGUGCAGAAAGUCUGUGACAUAGUCAAGAAGCAAUUGGCACUGCCAGAGGGUUCAAGUGUCACUGGAGAGUCCAAGUUUGCUACCCUUGGAGCUGAUUCUCUUGACAGUCUUUUUACAUAGAAAAAUUACAUAUCUAUUUCUGUUUUUACAUAGAAUUAUAUAAAGAAUGCUCUUUUUUUGUUAUGUAGUUAGAUAUUACGAAUUUAAUAUUAGAGAUUUAAUAACCCAAUAAAAGAUAAUUAUAUACA